CAAGAGCAGGUUUGCUGUCAGCGCAGCCUCCUCUUGCCACUGUCUCCUCAUGCUUGCUCACUUGCCCUUCCGGCCCAUUAUUACACAGCAAGGAGGCUCUCACCAGAUGCUGAACAGAUGCCAGUGCCAUGCUCUUGGACUUCCUGCCCUCUAGGAUUGUGAGCCAAGGGCCAGCUAGACAAACGCACCAAGACCACACACAGAUUCUAAGACAACAGGAGCAUGUGUGAAGGCACGAAUAGCCAGGAGGGCAGAGCUCUAGUGCCUCCAGCACCAAGGCUUGGGAGUUACAGCAAAUUUAAUGAUCAAGACAAAGGAGCCAGAGCCAAGGAGAAGCUAUGGCAAUUGGUAUUGAAAAUCUGUGCAAUUCUACUUGGGAAGAGAUCUAUGAAGGCUCUGAAGUAACAAACUGAAACACACAGAGGUUAAAAGCAUGAGGAUUCCAGUCAUGCAGUCCUGGGUUUGACUUCCAGCUUCUUGGACAUUAGUGCUCCUUAAUUACUCUCAAUUUCAGUUAUGUCAUCUCCAAAAUGAGACUAAUUAUAAGUGUUGAAAGAAUUAAAUGAAGCAGUGCAUCCAGAGUGCCUAGUACAGUGCCAGGAACAGAGUAAAUGUUUAAAAUUCCUUACCCUUCCUCUACUGUAAGAUGAUAGAGAUGUUCCAUCUGUCUGGCCAAAGUCAGCUUCAGUGGCUGAAAUUCAAGGACACUGGCCUGGGCCCUGCACUCUGGCUACAUGGCCCAAGACUCAA
rnacentral:lncRNA from 1 species